rnacentral:rRNA from 1 species
CAGUCGCCGCGGUAAUACGUAGGUCCCGAGCGUUGUCCGGAUUUAUUGGGCGUAAAGCGAGCGCAGGCGGUUAGAUAAGUCUGAAGUUAAAGGCUGUGGCUUAACCAUAGUACGCUUUGGAAACUGUUUAACUUGAGUGCAAGAGGGGAGAGUGGAAUUCCAUGUGUAGCGGUGAAAUGCGUAGAUAUAUGGAGGAACACCAGUGGCGAAGGCGACUCUCUGGUCUGUAACUGACGCUGAGGAGCGAAAGCGUGGGGAGCGAACAGGAUUAGAGACCCGCGUAGUCCCUGUCUCUUAUACA